ACUGUAAAUUGACAUUUUCAUACAUAUUUGUGCAUUUGAAGAAGGUGUGUGUGCCUGGAAAAAUAUAAAUUUACGGAAAAAUGGCCUCCAUAAACAUGCCUGUCGAUUCUUAACUAAGCGACCUAGCAUAGCAAGCCGUAUAUCAGAAUGACCGGCUUGCAAUUCCUCAUUUAAAUAACCUAAAUACAUUGACCUAGUUUUAAAUACUAAAAUAGAAAUCGCGAGGUGAAUGCAUGAUGGAAAUAAGAAAAGCUGUAUUCCCAUUGGUUACCAGGCGAAGCCAUGUUGUAAGUUACUAAAAUUAGCUCAUGUCAAGGCGACAUAUGACCGAAAUGUAAGCCGUUGCCGAGAUACGGGCUAUUAUUUUGCUCAGCGCAUGACUUCCUUUACUCGACAUCUGCGAACCUGUGUGCUUCUUUUUUAUCAAAUAAGUGCAUAUUUUUUGUUUGUUGGCUUCUUUUUACGUCAAUGCCUGCAGUCUCAAAGCUAGUGCUGCCAAGCUUGCUAGGGUUGAUGCACAUCACUUGGGACUGCACAGAUGCACUAGAUGCACCUACAGUACCUGCAUCUCAGUGCACAUGCAUCGGUUGCAGCUACACUACUUCCACCAACCAUCGCAAAGAAAAUUUAGUGCUUCUGCAGUCUAAUCGCCGUAAUGCACUGAGUGGAUAGAUUGGAAGUCUUACGCAGCAGCUGAAAAAAUCUCCAGACCUACUUCAAGAAGGCAGUUUCAAGUAAGACUGGCAGUACAGGGAACUGAGGUGGAAAGUUGGAGCUCCUUCUAAUCAUGUCCCUUUGACAGAUGAAAGGACACACACCAGGAUUGACAGACAGGGAAAACCUCCUGGUGCUUCUGGCAAAUGUGUCAUGGUACAUAAUUCAACACCGCUAUCUCACAAAGGUUCAUCAUUCAUCUUAGAACAUGUUGCCAAAGCUGUCCAAAAUGUUUAUUAGCAACUGACGACAAAUGCCAUAUUGA